GACGAACGCUGGCGGCGUGCUUAACACAUGCAAGUCGAACGGAAAGGCCUGCUUUCCCUUGUGGAUUGCGGGUACUCGAGUGGCGAACGGGUGAGUAACACGUGAGUGAUCUGCCCCCAACUUGGGUAUAAGCCUGGGAAACUGGGUCUAAUUCCCGAUAGGACUGCAGGGUGGUGCCUGUGGUGGAAAACGAUUUUCUAGUGGUUGGGGAUGAGCUCGCGGCCUAUCAGCUUGUUGGUGGGGUAAUGGCCUACCAAGGCGGCGACGGGUAGCCGGCCUGAGAGCGUGGACGGCCACAUUGGGACUGAGAUACGGCCCAGACUCCUACGGGAAGCAGCAGUGGGGAAUAGUGCACAGUGGGCGGAAGCCUGAUGCAGCGACGCCGCGUGGGGGAUGACGGCCUUCGGGUUGUAAACUCCUUUCGACCGCGAGGAAGCCACCUGGUUGGAAGGGUGGUGACGGUAGUGGUAGAAGAAGCACCGGCUAACUACGUG
rnacentral:rRNA from 1 species